rnacentral:lncRNA from 1 species
GGAAAAUCCGCUUUCUUUAUAUUAUUUAUGGGUGCUGGAGUGAUGGAGAAAGCACAUGUGCAGGUCAGAGGGUAACCUUGGGAGUAGCAGCCAAGGACCAAACGCAGGUGUUUAGCUGCUGUGCCCUUCAGCUCCAGAAAUCAACUUUGACAAAGGAAAGACAGCAAGAGCAAGUAAGGUGUUUACCAACAGGCCUUGACUUGUUCCCAGAACACACAUGGUGGAAGGAGGGAACUGAAUCCCAUAAGUUGUCCUCUGACCUCCACAUGUGCCAUGGAGUCAGGGCCUUUCAAGAUCCAUCAAGUCCAAAGAGAAAAUGUAAAGAUUUCAGCAUUGCCUAUUUAAAUUCAACAGAUUAUUAAGUCACCCAGAUUUGAUCAAGAUUAAAGAAAAGUGUGUCUUCUUAAAUGGCAUUAUACUGCACAGUGAAUAUUAUCAUAUUCAAAGGGCUUUUUGUUUAGACAUUCAUGCUGGGUUUGACAUUGUGAUCCUUCUAUGUCACCGUCCCACAUGCUGGUGUCUGUGUGCCACAGGAUGUGUCACAGUGUUUGGCUUAGGGCUCUUAGCACCUAAUGACAGUGACAGGCUGUUGGUAUGGCACAGAACCAAUUGAGGAAGUAGUUCCCCUAGGAGACCGCAGUGAGGAGCAGAUACUCAGAUGAAGUUAAGUCAUGGGGACCUCUUGGUGUUUGAUGAGCACAGGCCUCAGUGAAUUCUUCCUUUCUGUAGUUCCUUCACCACAAGAUCUCUGACUCUUUUGCUCUGCAUUGUU